rnacentral:lncRNA from 1 species
CUUUGCCUCAAGGGUGUGCUGUCCUGACCAGUCUUAGGCUAUUCUUCAUUGUAGCCAAAGGGCACUGCACACCAUUUCUAGAUCGCCCAUGGAAUAUGGCACAUGACCUUUCACUUGCUAGGAAGUCAGUGCCCUAUUCAUCUAGGAACUUCAGGAGAUUUGAUAGCUUCUAGGCCAGGUUCUGGCUGAAGUAAAGUAAUCCAAAUCUCAUUUUCUCUACAGUUUGGGAAACAUGCAAAGCCCUCCUGAGUACUCAACGGAAAAUUCUAUGUAUACUCAUAGAAGUGUUUGGAAUCCAAGAAGAAAGUGAACUUCCCAGCCUAGCUCCAAGCUGGUCUGAUCAACCCGAAGUGAAGAUACCGGUUCUAACCCAAAACUAUCGGUUUGGGCCCUCAUGGGUGACAGAAAAGUAUCACAGUACUGGUUCCUGUUUGAACACACAUGUUCAUGGGGUCUCGCCUUGCAGCAGCAGGACAGAGGAGGCUGGAAUCACGGCACUCCCACAGCAAGGGCAAUCUUUAAAGGCAGUAAGGUGUGACGCUCCAGACUGGCAGCUUGGCAAGACGGAGCCCAUGGAUACCAGCACACGGGAAUCUGGACCGUUCACUCUGACAGCAGUCAGCACUGGGAACAAAAGGAAUGGAGGAAAAAAAGCGCAAAUGUAUUUUUACAUAUUGUAGGCAUAUGGCCACAAGACCAGCAGAAAUACAUUUAAUUACCAAUUGCGCGCAUUGAGGAGAAAAACACUGGGAAGGAAAAAAAAAAACUGUGUACACAGCAAUAUUAUUCUACUUUAACUUUUCACCUCCUUUUUUUUUGUUAAUUGAAGAUAAAAGGGAUGUGGAUUAGAAUCGCAGAGGG